GCGGGAAUAGCUCAGUUGGUAGAGCAUAACCAUGCCAAGGUUGGGGUCGCGAGUUCGAGUCUCGUUUCCCGCUCCA
rnacentral:tRNA from 1 species